rnacentral:rRNA from 1 species
GACGAACGCUGGCGGUGCGCCUCAUACAUGCAAGUGGAGCGACGGACCAGGGCUUGCCCUGGGGCCAAGCCGCGAACGGGUGAGUAACACGUGGGUAACCUGCCCCGAUGACCGGGACAACUCGAGGAAACUCGGGCUAAUACCGGAUGUGCUCUUCGCGCACAAGCGCGACGAGCAAAGGAAGCUUCGGCCUCCGCUUCGGGAGGGGCCCGCGGCCCAUUAGCUUGUUGGUGAAGGUAACGGCUCACCAAGGCAACGAUGGGUAGCUGGUCUAAGAGGACGGUCAGCCACACUGGGACUGAGACACGGCCCAGACUCCUACGGGAGGCAGCAGUAGGGAAUCUUGCGCAAUGCGCGAAAGCGUGACGCAGCGACGCCGCGUGGGGGAAG